rnacentral:sRNA from 1 species
UAAUUCGUUCUCUGGGUAGGUUGCCCAUC